rnacentral:rRNA from 1 species
UACGUAGGGUGCAAGCGUUGUCCGGAAUUAUUGGGCGUAAAGAGCUCGUAGGCGGUCUGUCGCGUCUGCUGUGAAAACUCAGGGCUUAACCCUGAGCUUGCAGUGGGUACGGGCAGACUAGAGUGCGGUAGGGGAGACUGGAAUUCCUGGUGUAGCGGUGAAAUGCGCAGAUAUCAGGAGGAACACCGGUGGCGAAGGCGGAUCUCUGGGCCUUACCUG